rnacentral:lncRNA from 1 species
UUUUUUGUUUUUUUUCUGGUUUCAAAGCUUAACACAAAAUCACUUGAUUUUGCUGUUCAUACAGACAGGGGGAUACGUGAUUGUAUUUUCCUCUGUAUCCUUUCCCUUCUGUACUGGUGUGUGUGUUUUUCCGGGAUGAACGUUGGGUGUGAAAGUAACUUGUAGUCUCAUAGGUACAAUAGGUAGCUUUCAGAGGAGAAGCGGUGCUUGGUGUCUCCUGUGUGUCCUGGACUCCCUGCAGUGGCAUGGAGGCUAAAUGGCUGUUUCAGACUCCAGACAUCAUUUCUAAGCUACAGGGAGUCAGUCCUACUGACUUAAGUGCAAAACCAUUUUUGGUACAACUGUAAAAGAAACCCUUGUAAUUAGAAAGACUUUUUUUACCUUUAUUUUGAAAAGAAGCCAACUUUCUGGAAGAAAAGUCUCAUCGACUUUUUUGAGCUAGUUCCCUGUUUGUGUGUAAAUUCUGGUUUCCUUUCUACAGACUUAGUGUGGCAAAGUGUAAUUUUUCUAGAACAACACAGUAGUUAAGUAAAUCUAACUUUGGACAUACAGAGUAUUUUCAACAUAUGCGCUGUUCACAAGCAAUUGUGUUGCAUUUAGACCUUCAUAAGGAAUGAGGCAGUGCCCUCCUCCGAAAGAUCUGACAGCGUGAGCUCCCAAAGAGCAUUUUAAUGGGAAUCAAAAGUAGAAUCAUGUUUUAGUCUUGUGAAUCAUGCUUUUAAAAAAGAGCCUUACCAUUCAAUUUUAUUUCCAUAAAAACAAAAAUCUAUGUUUGUUACCUAUAAAUAGUUAGUGAUUACUGAUGCUCAAGUAUUUAUAUUUUUAGACUUGUAAUAAUUUGUUUUAAAAAUUGCAGUAGUGUAGCAUACCAUUUUUGGUAAUGCUUGGAAGUGUUUUUUAUAUAUAUAUAUUACAAAUAAAGCAGUUCCCUUUUAUAACUUAGUACAAAAACCAUAAUCAGUAGUUAAUAAAGUAAGCAUAUUCCUGUGUUCAAGUUAAGAUGAUAGAAAAAUGAGACAAUUUAACACCUGGAAUUAUUGGAGUGUGUGCAGCUGCAUACUCAUUUUCUGUGUUUUAUAUUUUCUCAUGUUUUAAUAUUUGAAUAUUUGAAUAUUUCAGACAAUUUAUAUUAUUACUGUGAUUCUAAUUAAGAGAGCAGUGAGAAGUACUAGUGUGCGUAUAGCUGGAGGCGGUGGCUAGAAGCCUCCAGAAAGCAGCUCUUUUCACUGCUGCGCCCGGCCUGAUUUUCAGAAGUCCGAUAGCGGUUCUUUAUGAUGGAGUAAACCUAAUGCAGACCUCAAGAUUGCUAUGAAGACCCGUAGGCCUCAAACUCACAAUCCUUCUGCCUCGCCUUCCUAAACAUUGACACGAUAGAUAUGUUUUGCCAUGCUUGGCUUCAUAGUCUUUAAUCAUUAUCUAUAAAUAACAAAGUUUGAACAUUAUAUAUAUUUAUAGUCCCAAAUUCCCUUCCCUGCCCUCCUAUCUGGUAUCUUUGAAGCAGUUACAAUUAUAAAAGAUCAUUUUCUAAACUUUCAUUUGCUGACCUCUAAAUCUUGUGUCCCAACCAGAGGUAGAGGACUCUGGGGAUCAAAGAUUUUUCUUUUGCUCCCUUCUGAAUUUUGUAUGUCCCAGGUAAAGAUGGUUUAGAGAUGAUCCAGGUGAGAAGAGCUCUUUGUAAACCUAGUAUUUUAAAACAUUUUAAAAGUAUAGCAUUUUUCCCCAAAACUUGGAAGAUCUUAGUAGCAGUUAUAUACAUUUAAAAUCUGUUACUGGUGUCCACCCAGUGAGAUACAGAAUUGAUAGGAAUCACAUGACAGUCAGUGUGAGGGCCAGGCCCUCACAACCAUUUUCAGUCUCUUUCCUUAUCCUGUGAGACAAUUGGCUUAUGUUUUCUGACAUCUAUUAGCUGUUGAUACAUUGGUGUUAUUUUUGAGUUGAAGUUUUCUUCUGUUUAUGAGUAUUUCCAUACUACUUGUAUACUGUGACAUUUACGUAUCAUCCAUAUCAUAUAGUGGGAACUGUGACUGAAAUGACAGGUAUUAUAACAGAUUUUGAGAACAAACAGCUUCCAGUUCUUUGGGGGAUGUUUCCUGUCCUUUGUUUUGGUCUUCUUUAUAAAUUCAAGUGUUCUGUUCGCUUUAGAAGGAUGUGUGUAAGGGCAAGGUUAGUUAGUUUCAGCUGGCAAUUGGAAACUUUUGAAACUCAAAUUGCUCUGACAAUGUUUUAACUGCUCUCAAUUAAGAAAAUGUAAGAAAUGGACAAACUAACGUGUGCUGUUUUUUCUGAGUGCUUUUCUAUUGUGCAAUGAGGUGACACUGAUAAUGUUCUGUGCCGUGCUUAAGUGUUGCUUAUUUUUAAUACUUGUAAAGAAAACAGACAUAAAUGUCUGCGUGGCCAAAACCAAGUGCCAUUUAAAAGGAAAAGUAAGUUGAUGUAGAAUGUAUGUUAAUGGUGCUUAUUUUUAAAGUGUGAUUUAAGUUUACAGUAUUACUUGAUGCCUCUUUACAGAAGUGACUAGAGAAACGAGGCUAGAACACACCUGUGUCCUGAAGCCUUCGUAACCUCAGUUAGAUGAUGCCGGAGUUCAUUCACUGUCCUCACAUUUGAGCGCUUGACUUCCGUGGUCAGGUGAUGAACCUGCUUUGUUGAGUUACCCCUCUCCGCCUCAUUAAAGUGCCCCAUUGCAGCUAGCAGCUGAAGAAUAGACUGUAAGCUUUUCAGACGGUGUAUCAGAAACAAAAUGUUUUUAUGUGUACUAUAAAAAUGUGAUUUUUGCUGUCAACCUGUACUUUUUUUAUUGAAAAUGUUUAUAACUUUGCUUUUAAAAUUUCUUAUGAAACCAUUUACAAAUUACAUACUUAAUUUAAUAAAAUGCUUUCAUCAC